rnacentral:rRNA from 1 species
UACGAAGGGGGCUAGCGUUGCUCGGAAUCACUGGGCGUAAAGCGCACGUAGGCGGAUUGUUAAGUCGGGGGUGAAAUCCUGGAGCUCAACUCCAGAACUGCCUUCGAUACUGACGAUCUCGAGUCCGGGAGAGGUGAGUGGAACUCCGAGUGUAGAGGUGAAAUUCGUAGAUAUUCGGAAGAACACCAGUGGCGAAGGCGGCUCACUGGCCCGAUACUGACGCUGAGGCACGAAAGCGUGGGGAGCAAACAGG